rnacentral:lncRNA from 1 species
UUUGAGACAGGUUCUCACUUUGUCACCCAGGCUGGAGUACAGUGGUGUGAUUUCAGCUCACUGCAACCUCAACCUCCUGGAUCAAGUGAUUCUUCCACUUCAGCUUUCUGAGUAACUGAGACCACAGACCCUGCUCUCAAUGGAUAAGUGACACCACCCAGACCAGUAAUCUGACUCAACCAGUUCUGUGAUCUCACCCAGGAACAGAAGACAGCAAGAAAACCUCACUUCAACUCCCACUAUGAUUCCAUCCCCAACCUGACCAAUCAGCACUCCCCACUUCCUGAACCCCUAUUCACCAAAUUAUCUUUAAAAACUCCAAUCCCUGAAUGCUUGGGGAGACUGAUUUGAGUAAUAAUAAAUCUCCGGUCUCCUGCACAGCUGACUCUGCCUGAAUUGCACUUUCUCUAUUGCAGCUCCCCUGUCUUGAUAAAUCAGCUCUGUCUAGGCAGGGUACAAGGUGAACCCAUUGGACAGUUACAAAUUCUAACCUUUCAUUGUAGUUUUCAAAAGAUUUUUUUCCAAAAGCAUAAUUUUAGAAUGAAACACUUCCCACCCCCAAACAGCACUUAACUUUUCUUUAUUUUAACUCUCUGUGCAGAUUUUGA